CGUGUCACUUCCCAACUAGGGGAGGGAUGCAAAGCAAUAGUGUAAAAAGAUCGUUAAGAUUUCCGCGCCCGAAGUUUGAGAAUUUCAUGGGCUAUCCUUGACACCUUUUGGGUCGCUUCGGAUUGGUGAAAGAGCAAGAUUCUGGUAGCGUUUUUAAGUGCGAGGUAUUUGGGAAAUUUUCUUCCAUACGUUGGAAAGCCUAGGAAGACGGGAAUUUGACAUUGCCUCAUGGCUUUCCUUACUUUUCUGUUGAAGCUAAUACAAUAAGGCAUGGAUGAGAACCAGCAGCAAAGCAAAGUAAACAAAAGUGCCAAUGAAAGAUUCAAUCCACUUACAGACAAAGAUGGUGCCUGUACAUUUUACCUUUAUUCUUAGGCCACUUACAGAGUCUGUAAAUGGAAAUAAAACACAGAAAAAUGAUGAAAAUAAAAGUUAACUCGAGCAGGAAAACUCCAAUCAGCCUAGAAAGGCCAGAAAAUAAUUGUGCUUAGAAAUAACAGUUACCUCCAGCUGGAAAACAAAAAAGACAGAACAGCUUGCAGGGGCAGGAAAAUACAAUAGAUUGUAGCUUCAAUGGAUGCCAGAAAUAUGUUUAUGAAAAACUGGCAGAUACUGUUUUGUGCAUUGUGCUGGUGAAGACAGCAGUGCAAGAAUAGGUGAAGAUGGAAUCAAGAAAUGCAAAACAGGAGUGAGUCCAUUUAGUCCUGGAAAAACCAUGGAAGAGGUUUCUGCUGGUUUUGGUGUUGCUUUUCCUGACAUUCAACUACUGGACAAAGACACAGCUGUCAAAGGAAAACAAUAUUCAAGCCAGUGAACCAGAUGAUGAAGAUUUUGUCCUGUUUGAGCUCCUCAAGCCUCCCAAAGAUGCUUCUUAUGAGAUUCCAACCCUACAGAUUCUCUAUUUGAAAGAAGGAAGGAAGGAAGGAAGGUAUUCCAAGGCCUUAACGCCAUCACCGAGCAAUAUCUUUUCAAACUAAGGAAGGAGAAAGGGAUAAAUGUUCCAAGAGGGUGUUACCAUGCAGUGAUGACAACAGAAGAAAUGGUAAAUUUUGAUUACUGGAGGCAGGUAAGGAUGGGUAGGUCGAGACAAAGAUUUUUCAUUACAAGUGGGAUAGAGCCUUGGAAUUUUGGACCAAGGAGACCACAGAUGUGGCAAGUAUCUUAAAGCAAGUUGAUAGUGAUGGAUGGGUCUUAUUGAGCAUUACAGAACAGCAUCAUUAUGGAAUGUGGAGAGACUGGAAAUGGAGGCAACUUGAGGAGAAAGACUUUUUGUAAUUUUAAAUAAAAUCAGUAAAGGACAGCUAUUUGGCACAGUGUAAUACUAGUAAUUAAACACCUAACAGGUCAUGUGUUCACUCUAACAGUUUCAAUUGGGUUUUGAAGCAUGCUUACUUCAAGUUAUAUCCAAAAUUCCCCAGCUCCAAAUUGUGAAUAGUACUUAGACAUGGCCAGAGAACAUCAAUAGAGAAUGUGACCUCUUAAGCAUGUUCACAUCAGACCCAUGAAUUUGUCCACAAAACCUCCUUUGGAGUUGUUUAGUUCCAGAGUUUUAUAUCCAGUGCAUUUCCAGAGCAGUAAAAUUUUAAAAAAUGACACAAACAUUUAAAUUGCAAAGAAUUUAUUUAAAAUCUUUACGUUUACAGCAACCCAUAUAAAAAAGAAAUCUUACCAACUAUUAUGAGUGAAUGGGUGUAUAAAAUAGCCUUGACUCCUCAAUCUGGUGUCAACUGCUUUAUUUUAUUCAAAAGUAUAUAAGGGCAAAUUGGAAGGACAGAAACAGUUACUUUCUGUAAUCUGUCAAAUAGUAUUGAACAGUUAGAGCCAAAUAGUUGCAAGUGAGUUAAAGGAUAGAAUGGAUUCAUUAUAUAUUAGUGCACUGUAGUCUACUUUAUAUUUCACAAAUUCCAAAAAAUCCCCAUUUCACCUGAAGUUAUUUACUUGAAUUAUUUGUACUGAAGAUGUUUAUUUCCAUGGAAGUGUUGCAUGUUCAAGUACAACUGAAGGAGUUUUUUUUUUUUAACUACCCAUUUGUUUGUUAGAUGAGCAAUUUAAGCCUGAAUUUUGAGUUAGAUUAAUUACGGUUUGCACAUGUGGUUAGAAAAAAUAUUUAGCACCAAUCACUCCUGCUUAAAUGACACAAAAAAAGUGUUUAUUUGUUCCAAACACUUACAGUGUAGCCUAUUUAUCAAGAUGAUUUUAUCAACGAAGGACAUCAUAGCAGGAAAAGUGUGACCAAAAUUUAUAUGAAACAUUAAAAAAGGAACAACUAGAGUGAUUUUACUCAACCCAUGAAACAGUAUGUAAACAAACCUGUAUGACACCAGCACGCAUGUUUGAUUGUUGGAUCACCCCAUGUUGUGUGUGGAAAACAUGACAUAAACCAAAAAUUUUGUAAUGCACAGUAGUUUAUGACCAAUUUCACCGGUUGGAUAAAAUCACUCUUUAUAUUCUGUAUAUAUUCUGCAAUAUCUUUUUGAGAAAGAAACUGUGACAAAGCCUUGACUUAGUAUUAGCAUGAAUAAUAGUUAUUGCUCAAUUGUCUCUUUCGUGAUGCAUGUUAAU